AUUGAACGCUGGCGGCAUGCUUUAUACAUGCAAGUCGUGCGGCAGCGCGGGGGCAACUCUGGCGGCGAGCGGCGAACGGGUGAGUAAUACAUAGGAACGUAUCCUGAAAUGGGGGAUAGCUCGGCGAAAGCCGGAUUAAUACCGCAUACGCUCCACGGAGGAAAGCAGGGGGAUCGCAAGACCUUGCGUUUCUGGAGCGGCCUAUGUCUGAUUAGCUAGUGGCGGGGUAAUAGCCCACCAAGGCGACGAUCAGUAGCUGGUCUGAGAGGAUGAUCAGCCACACUGGGACUGAGACACGGCCCAGACUCCUACGGGAGGCAGCAGUAGGGAAUUUUGGACAAUGGGGGCAACCCUGAUCCAGCCAUGCCGCGUGAGUGAAGAAGGCCU
rnacentral:rRNA from 1 species